rnacentral:rRNA from 1 species
AGAGUUUGAUCCUGGCUCAGGACGAACGCUGGCGGCGUGCCUAACACAUGCAAGUCGAACGGGGUUAUUUCUUCGGAGAUAACUUAGUGGCGAACGGGUGAGUAACGCGUGAGAAACCUGCCUUUCAGUGGGGGACAACAGUUGGAAACGACUGCUAAUACCGCAUGAUACUUUCUGGGGGCAUCCNCUGGAAAGUCAAAGCUUUAUGUGCUGAAAGAUGGUCUCGCGUCUGAUUAGCUAGUUGGCGGGGUAACGGCCCACCAAGGCGACGAUCAGUAGCCGGUCUGAGAGGAUGAACGGCCACAUUGGGACUGAGAUACGGCCCAGACUCCUACGGGAGGCAGCAGUGGGGAAUAUUGGGCAAUGGGGGAAACCCUGACCCAGCAACGCCGCGUGAAGGAAGAAGGCCUUCGGGUUGUAAACUUCUUUUACCAGGGACGAAGGACGUGACGGUACCUGGAGAAAAAGCAACGGCUAACUACGUGCCAGCAGCCGCGGUAAUACGUAGGUUGCAAGCGUUGUCCGGAUUUACUGGGUGUAAAGGGCGUGUAGGCGGAGCUGCAAGUCAGAUGUGAAAUCCCGGGGCUCAACCCCGGAACUGCAUUUGAAACUGUAGCCCUUGAGUAUCGGAGAGGCAAGCGGAAUUCCUAGUGUAGCGGUGAAAUGCGUAGAUAUUAGGAGGAACACCAGUGGCGAAGGCGGCUUGCUGGACGACAACUGACGCUGAGGCGCGUAAGCGUGGGGAGCAGACAGCAUUAGAUACACUGGUAGUGCACACUGUAAAAUAUGAAUACUAGGUGUGGGAGGGGGGACCCAUUUCGUACUGCAGUUAACACAAUAAGUAUUCCACAUGGCGAGUAAGACGGACAAGGUUGACACUCAAAGGAAUUGCACGGGGGCCCGCAAAGUCAGUGGAUUAUGUGGUUUAAUUAGAUGCCAUGAGAUGAACCUUACCAGGAUUUGACAUCCUACUAACGAAGCAGAGAUGCAUUAGGUGCCCUUCGGGGAGAUUUGAGACAGCUGCUGCAUGCUAGUUUUCAGAUCGUGUCGUGAGAUAUUGGUUUGAGUCCUAUAACGAGCGCAACCCGUCAUUGUUAUCCUCUAAGACAAGAGCACUGAUAGUGAGCCUUGCUGGGCACUUACCGGAGGAAGGUAGGGAAUGACGUCGAAUGAUCAUGCCCAGCAUGUUAUGGGUUACACAUGUAAUACUAUGGUGGUAAGACAGUGGGAAGCUAAUCCCAGUGGUGGACCAAAUCCGUCCAACCCAUCUCACCUGGGAUUUCAGGCUGCAAUUAGCCGGUAUGAAGUUGGAAAUGUUAGUAAUACAUGGAUCACGCAUGCACGUCGCAGGAUAUGGUCACCGGGCCUAUGUACACGUCGCCAGUCAAGGUCGAAUUUGAUAGGAACAAUUCAGGAGCGAGUCCAAUUUAGUGAGGGCUUAUUGUGAGUCUGCAGUCUGG